UACGUAUGGUGCGAGCGUUAAUCGGAAUUACUGGGCGUAAAGCGUGCGCAGGCGGUUCGUUGUGUCGGCGGUGAAAGCCCCGGGCUCAACCUGGGAAUGGCCGUUGAAACUGGCGAACUGGAGUGUGGCAGAGGGGGGUGGAAUUCCGCGUGUAGCAGUGAAAUGCGUAGAGAUGCGGAGGAACACCGAAGGCGAAGGCAGCCCCCUGGGCUGACACUGACGCUCAGGCACGAAAGCGUGGGGAGCAAACAGG
rnacentral:rRNA from 1 species